rnacentral:rRNA from 1 species
AGUGAACGCUGGCGGUAGGCCUAACACAUGCAAGUCGAACGGCAGCACAGUAAGAGCUUGCUCUUACGGGUGGCGAGUGGCGGACGGGUGAGGAAUACAUCGGAAUCUACUUUUUUGUGGGGGAUAACGUAGGGAAACUUACGCUAAUACCGCAUACGACCUACGGGUGAAAGCAGGGGAUCUUCGGACCUUGCGCGAUUGAAUGAGCCGAUGUCGGAUUAGCUAGUUGGCGGGGUAAAGGCCCACCAAGGCGACGAUCCGUAGCUGGUCUGAGAGGAUGAUCAGCCACACUGGAACUGAGGCACGGUCCAGACUCCUACGGGAGGCAGCAGUGGGGAAUAUUGGACAAUGGGCGCAAGCCUGAUCCAGCCAUACCGCGUGGGUGAAGAAGGCCUUCGGGUUGUAAAGCCCUUUUGUUGGGAAAGAAAAGCAGCAGGUUAAUACCCCGCUGUUCUGACGGUACCCAAAGAAUAAGCACCGGCUAACUUCGUG